rnacentral:rRNA from 1 species
UCAACCGAGAUUCCCCCAGUAGCGGCGAGCGAACGGGGAGGAGCCCAGAGCCUGAAUCAGUGUGUGUGUUAGUGGAAGCGUCUGGAAAGGCGCGCGAUACAGGGUGACAGCCCCGUACACAAAAAUGCACAUACUGUGAGCUCGAUGAGUAGGGCGGGACACGUGGUAUCCUGUCUGAAUAUGGGGGGACCAUCCUCCAAGGCUAAAUACUCCUGACUGACCGAUAGUGAACCAGUACCGUGAGGGAAAGGCGAAAAGAACCCCGGCGAGGGGAGUGAAAAAGAACCUGAAACCGUGUACGUACAAGCAGUGGGAGCCUCUUUAUGGGGUGACUGCGUACCUUUUGUAUAAUGGGUCAGCGACUUAUAUUCUGUAGCAAGGUUAACCGAAUAGGGGAGCCGAAGGGAAACCGAGUCUUAACUGGGCGUUAAGUUGCAGGGUAUAGACCCGAAACCCGGUGAUCUAGCCAUGGGCAGGUUGAAGGUUGGGUAACACUAACUGGAGGACCGAACCGACUAAUGUUGAAAAAUUAGCGGAUGACUUGUGGCUGGGGGUGAAAGGCCAAUCAAACCGGGAGAUAGCUGGUUCUCCCCGAAAGCUAUUUAGGUAGCGCCUCGUGAAUUCAUCUCCGGGGGUAGAGCACUGUUUCGGCAAGGGGGUCAUCCCGACUUACCAACCCGAUGCAAACUGCGAAUACCGGAGAAUGUUAUCACGGGAGACACACGGCGGGUGCUAACGUCCGUCGUGAAGAGGGAAACAACCCAGACCGCCAGCUAAGGUCCCAAAGUCAUGGUUAAGUGGGAAACGAUGUGGGAAGGCCCAGACAGCCAGGAUGUUGGCUUAGAAGCAGCCAUCAUUUAAAGAAAGCGUAAUAGCUCACUGGUCGAGUCGGCCUGCGCGGAAGAUGUAACGGGGCUAAACCAUGCACCGAAGCUGCGGCAGCGACGCUUAUGCGUUGUUGGGUAGGGGAGCGUUCUGUAAGCCUGCGAAGGUGUGCUGUGAGGCAUGCUGGAGGUAUCAGAAGUGCGAAUGCUGACAUAAGUAACGAUAAAGCGGGUGAAAAGCCCGCUCGCCGGAAGACCAAGGGUUCCUGUCCAACGUUAAUCGGGGCAGGGUGAGUCGACCCCUAAGGCGAGGCCGAAAGGCGUAGUCGAUGGGAAACAGGUUAAUAUUCCUGUACUUGGUGUUACUGCGAAGGGGGGACGGAGAAGGCUAUGUUGGCCGGGCGACGGUUGUCCCGGUUUAAGCGUGUAGGCUGGUUUUCCAGGCAAAUCCGGAAAAUCAAGGCUGAGGCGUGAUGACGAGGCACUACGGUGCUGAAGCAACAAAUGCCCUGCUUCCAGGAAAAGCCUCUAAGCAUCAGGUAACAUCAAAUCGUACCCCAAACCGACACAGGUGGUCAGGUAGAGAAUACCAAGGCGCUUGAGAGAACUCGGGUGAAGGAACUAGGCAAAAUGGUGCCGUAACUUCGGGAGAAGGCACGCUGAUAUGUAGGUGAAGCGACUUGCUCGUGGAGCUGAAAUCAGUCGAAGAUACCAGCUGGCUGCAACUGUUUAUUAAAAACACAGCACUGUGCAAACACGAAAGUGGACGUAUACGGUGUGACGCCUGCCCGGUGCCGGAAGGUUAAUUGAUGGGGUUAGCGGUAACGCGAAGCUCUUGAUCGAAGCCCCGGUAAACGGCGGCCGUAACUAUAACGGUCCUAAGGUAGCGAAAUUCCUUGUCGGGUAAGUUCCGACCUGCACGAAUGGCGUAAUGAUGGCCAGGCUGUCUCCACCCGAGACUCAGUGAAAUUGAACUCGCUGUGAAGAUGCAGUGUACCCGCGGCAAGACGGAAAGACCCCGUGAACCUUUACUAUAGCUUGACACUGAACAUUGAGCCUUGAUGUGUAGGAUAGGUGGGAGGCUUUGAAGUGUGGACGCCAGUCUGCAUGGAGCCGGCCUUGAAAUACCACCCUUUAAUGUUUGAUGUUCUAACGUUGGCCCCUGAUCGGGGUUGCGGACAGUGUCUGGUGGGUAGUUUGACUGGGGCGGUCUCCUCCUAAAGAGUAACGGAGGAGCACGAAGGUUGGCUAAUCCUGGUCGGACAUCAGGAGGUUAGUGCAAUGGCAUAAGCCAGCUUGACUGCGAGCGUGACGGCGCGAGCAGGUGCGAAAGCAGGUCAUAGUGAUCCGGUGGUUCUGAAUGGAAGGGCCAUCGCUCAACGGAUAAAAGGUACUCCGGGGAUAACAGGCUGAUACCGCCCAAGAGUUCAUAUCGACGGCGGUGUUUGGCACCUCGAUGUCGGCUCAUCACAUCCUGGGGCUGAAGUAGGUCCCAAGGGUAUGGCUGUUCGCCAUUUAAAGUGGUACGCGAGCUGGGUUUAGAACGUCGUGAGACAGUUCGGUCCCUAUCUGCCGUGGGCGCUGGAGAACUGAGGGGGGCUGCUCCUAGUACGAGAGGACCGGAGUGGACGCAUCACUGGUGUUCGGGUUGUCAUGCCAAUGGCACUGCCCGGUAGCUAAAUGCGGAAGAGAUAAGUGCUGAAAGCAUCUAAGCACGAAACUUGCCCCGAGAUGAGUUCUCCCUGAGACUUUAAGUCUCCUGAAGGAACGUUGAAGACGACGACGUUGAUAGGCCGGGUGUGUAAGCGCAGCGAUGCGUUGAGCUAACCGGUACUAAUGAACCGUGAGG